AACGAACGCUGGCGGCGUGCCUAAUACAUGCAAGUCGAGCGAACGGACGAGGAGCUUGCUCCUUUGACGUUAGCGGCGGACGGGUGAGUAACACGUGGAUAACCUACCUAUAAGACUGGGAUAACUUCGGGAAACCGGAGCUAAUACCGGAUAAUAUAUUGAACCGCAUGGUUCAAUAGUGAAAGACGGUUUUGCUGUCACUUAUAGAUGGAUCCGCGCCGCAUUAGCUAGUUGGUAAGGUAACGGCUUACCAAGGCAACGAUGCGUAGCCGACCUGAGAGGGUGAUCGGCCACACUGGAACUGAGACACGGUCCAGACUCCUACGGGAGGCAGCAGUAGGGAAUCUUCCGCAAUGGGCGAAAGCCUGACGGAGCAACGCCGCGUGAGUGAUGAAGGUCUUCGGAUCGUAAAACUCUGUUAUUAGGGAAGAACAAAUGUGUAAGUAACUAUGCACGUCUUGACGGUACCUAAUCAGAAAGCCACGGCUAACUACGUG
rnacentral:rRNA from 1 species